rnacentral:rRNA from 1 species
UGACCGCUGGCGGCAUGCUUUACACAUGCAAGUCGAACGGCAGCGCGGGCUUCGGCCUGGCGGCGAGUGGCGAACGGGUGAGUAAUACAUCGGAACGUGCCCAGUAGUGGGGGAUAGCUCGGCGAAAGCCGGAUUAAUACCGCAUACGACCGGAGGGGGAAAGCGGGGGUCUUUCGACCUUGCCCCUAUUGAACCGGCCGAUGGCAGAUUAGCUAGUUGGUGGGGUAAAGGCCUACCAAGGCGACGAUCUGUAGCUGGUCUGAGAGGACGACCAGCCACACUGGGACUGAGACACGGCCCAGACUCCUACGGGAGGCAGCAGUGGGGAAUUUUGGACAAUGGGCGAAAGCCUGAUCCAGCAAUGCCGCGUGUGUGAUGAAGGCCUUCGGGUUGUAAAGCACUUUUGGCGGGAACGAAAAGGACUGUGCCAAUACCACGGUUCGAUGACGGUACCCGCAGAAUAAGCACCGGCUAACUACGUG